rnacentral:lncRNA from 1 species
AUGAGGCUGUUCCCAGCACUUCACCGGAGAAGUUCGAGGGAAGAUUUCCCAAAGGUCCCUGCCGAGGUCCGGGAGCGAUGCCGGUUCGGAGCGGGGCCUGCAGCCCCUCACCUCGAGGCCGAAUCCUGGGAUGGGAGGGUUUUCCGUAACCGCGGUGCUUUGGGAUCGCCGCUCGGGAGAAGCGACCGUCGGCGUCCGGCAGAAACGGAGCAAAAGAAAUCACGGGAAGAGCUGCAGGACGCUCGGAGCCCGGAGGCUUUUGCCGCGCAACGCGAGGGAUCGAGGGACCGGCUCGGCUCGGCACGUUGCCAUCGGUUACGGCCUGGUCCGAACACGGGGACAAACGCCCCAAAACCCGGCCCGAAGCCGACUCCCGCCCCAGUGCCGCGGGAGCACCCGGAGCACGGCCGGAAGCAGGAGCGAGCUUCGGCCCGCUCGGACACAUCGGGGAGGAGGCCGACGGGGGAGGAACGUUUUUAUUCCCGUAUUUGGAUCCCGAAUUCCCGGGACGACCCUGAAAAGGCACGAGCGGCGCCCGGGCUCGGGGAGGGGGGGACGGUUCGGGACGCGGCCCUGCCCGGCUCUGGCGCAGCGGCCGGAAGGGGAAACCAAAGGGGGAAGCGAAAGCAGGGAGGCGCCGUGCCCGGCCCCCUCCGUUUUCCGCCCCGGCCCCCGCAGCCGCUCCGGGGUCAAAAUCCAACUCCGGCGAUCCCAACGCCGCGCCGGGUGGGGAGGGAAACCGAGGCAGAGGGUGGAGGGGAGCCGCCGGCCCGGCUCCGGCUCCCAUUGGAUCACGGAUCGGCCCCGGCCAGCAUGGCGGGUCACAGAUUCACCCUGAGUUACGGAGCCAGUUUUCCCAUGACGUCUCGGGACGGAGCCAAAGCGGCGMCGGAAGCUUUGCUCCGGGGGGGCCCUGCCAGGGCUCCUCUCCGCUGCCCCGGAAACCAGCCACCUUCUUUUCCCAGGUCGGCCAGGUUGUUUUUUUGGGGAUCUUUCUCCCUCCUGGCCCAACGGGGUCCCCGGCGCGAGCGACGCGGCCGAACCAGGCGCUCCGAUCCCUCCGGAGCUGGGGAAGGGGGGUGCCGCGUAUCCACGAAGCCGCUCGCCCGUUUUAGCCGGCGCGGAACGCCGCAGGCCCGGCAUCCUUUGCUUUGCAAACAAGCCCAUUUGUUUACGGGGACGGUCCCACCGGUUUUGGGAGCUCGGCUCUGCCCCGAGCCGCCCGCGGGGAUCACGCCAGUCCCGGCCGCGUUGUCCUGCUGCCGCGUUAUCCCCGGMUCGGCGCUCCGGGGUGGCGGCGGGGGGGGGAUUUGA